UUUCCUGGUCUCCUUGGUGAAAUAGUGGACGAAACAUCAUCUGGUCAUAUAGUUGUGUAUUUUGGAACCAAAAUAGGAAAUAUUGUCCUUCCUGUUUCUGCUGUAACAAUGUACGUUAAGAAUAAACAUCCAGAACAUUCAUUCUUCGAUUGGUUAUUUGGAAGAAAAAACAUAAUUGAAAAAAAUCACAGCAAUGAUGACUCUUCCGUCAUUUCUAUUCCAACAUAGAAAAAAUUUCUCCACUUUUUACUCCCUGACUGUCUGUUUCCCAGUCUGUCUGCCUGUCUGUGUGUGUGUCUUCUUCCCUGUGUCUGAAAUAUGUCAAGAAGACAUAUCAUCCCCCCUCUCUCUCUCUCCCUCUUUCUCUCUGUAUUUCUCGCACAUUUUUAAAAAAUACCUCUUAUUUAUAAUCGUCCUCGGUAACUUCAUAAUUCUUCUUAGAUCCCUCCCUUAUUAUUUACUGACAAUGCAGACACAGAUACCGAACCUUUCGCUAUGUUCAACUCCCUGCAUCAGUUUAUUUCACCUCUCACAUCAAUCCCUGACCAACACAUAUGUACCCCUUCUACAACACAAGGACAUAUUCACUAUCCACAAACAUAAACGUCACAUACACUAGACCUAACUAUCUCUCACAGACUUGGGCUGACAAACAUACACUGUUUAAUAUAAA
rnacentral:lncRNA from 1 species